UACGUAGGGGGCUAGCGUUGUCCGGAAUCAUUGGGCGUAAAGCGCGCGUAGGUGGCCCCAUAAGUCCGCUGUGAAAGUCAAAGGCUCAACCUUUGAAAGCCGGUGGAUACUGUGGGACUAGAGUACGGAAGAGGCGAGUGGAAUUCCUGGUGUAGCGGUGGGAUGCGCAGAUAUCAGGAGGAACACCAAUAGCGAAGGCAGCUCGCUGGGACGUUACUGACACUGAGGCGCGAAAGCGUGGGGAGCGAACAGG
rnacentral:rRNA from 1 species